GGGAGGGUAUGCUAGUGGCUAUGCAGACGGCUUUGAAUACCGUUUAUCCGAUAAGGAUCGUGAGUUCGAGUCUCACUCCUCCCG
rnacentral:tRNA from 1 species